GUGUGACAGUUACCGAAGCCUCAAUGGGGGUUGAAACUUCCAGAUCAAAGCUGGAAUGGUUACCCACUACACAGAUGGGCCUGUAGGCAGGUUUGUGGGGAAUUAUCCUGACUGAUAACUGAUGUCUGAGAGCACGGUCCACUGUGGGUGGCACCACUCCCUCAGCAGGUAUAAGGUAAGUGUGAGCCUGGAGUGGGCCCGCAGCUGCGUUCCUCCAUGGUUUCUGCCUCAGGCUUCUGUGUGUUCGCCUGACCUGCAGACUGAAAUAAGCCCUUUCCUCCCGCAAGCCAGAGUCAGAGGGCAGCAGAGGUGAAACUAGAGCACCCACCCUCAUGUGUUAGGUGGAACCUCCCAACUGCCAAUGAUGUCCUGAGCUCGGCUCCCCUUGGCCCGUGGGCAGUCGGAAGGGCCAGGUGGCUGCCCCCGGGUAGAGAGCCCCUGGUUCACUCAGGACCUUCCACUUCCCACAGGAACCAACUCCACCAUCAUCUCUGGACACCGCAGAGUGGGGAGUGAAGGCCAGGGCAUUGGCUGAGCCCCUGCAAGCCCGUGUCUCCCUGUGGACAGCCUUCCAUCUUCAGGGGUCUACCUUCCCCAGUCAGUCAUCAGGAACUCAUCUCCCAGACUCCUCUGCCUGCUUCUGCGUUUGUCAUCCUCUCUGUCCAGGUUUCCUGUCUGCUAACUCAUUCCUCUCUGGCAAACGCCUUUUUACCGUCCAACCAGUGUGAGACCGAAUGUCUCUGCAGUGAAGUCUCUGCAGCACGUCUCUGUCCCCGUCUGCUCCCGCCCACAACGUGUGCCACUGUCUGGGAGUCCGUCUUGUCACCUACUGGCAACGUUUGGUAUGGCAUUCUUCUGAACAGUGGGCAGAGCAGCAGGUGUCGAUCAAGUGGUCACUUCAGGGGACUGCUGCGGAGCUGUGAGGCAGGCCUACCAAGUCUGGCAGCAGAGAUGUAAACCUGGCUAUUCAUGCUGUGAUACAGAGGAGAGGAGCUGACGUGGAACACAUCUCAUUCCCAGAGGGGGUGUGCUUGGUGCACCCUUGGUGGAGAGGAGAUAUCACAGUAGGUUGGGUACAACGUGGUGCCCUGCCUAUUGGAAGUCAAACGUGGCUAGAGCAGAUGGGUAUUUUGAGACUGGGCAAAGUGUGGCUGUGCCAGGUUGUCUGCUCAGCCAGCCGUGGUACCGAGGUGGCAGCUAAGUUUUUCAGGAUCUUCUUUCUCCUGUUGAUCUGUUGAUGGGUUUUCCAGGGAGCAGUGUUCUUGAGAGAAAGAAAGGCAAGGUGUGCAUGAGAGAUUGUGUGGCAGGGCCAGGUACAACAGCCUGUGCAGGCAGAGAAACCUCCACUGAGCUGCAGGAUUUCUCAUCUUGUGGUCUUUGUUCCUGUAGUGGGUUGGCUUGGGCAACCCCUCUGUUUCACGUUGCCAGCCGUUUCCCUGAUGAUCACAGCUGGAGCAUGUUCCAAGAUCCACAUGGGUCAUGACUUACUUAGCAGCAUACCUUCCCACAUUCCAAUUUGUAGAUACUUGGGCUCGUUCUGAGGCUUGCUACUGGGUGUCACAACCCUCUGUGGCAGUGACUGCCAUCUAGAGCAUGACCGACCCUCAAUCUGGAGCCAGCCAAAGUGCUCAGAAGUGACCCUCGAGCCUCUCUGCCUGAGCGUGGCUGAGAAAGGGCACCAGAGUCGGGGGAGGAGCAGAUCUGAUAGCUUUGCCAUUAAUACCUUGGAACCCAAUUCAUAAAAGCAUCUAAUUACAGGGAGCCUGCAUUUCAUUGUCGUUUUGGUAAUGACCUGCAACUGCAUACAAAUUACAGGGUAAUCCCCUCAGUGGUGCUCAGUUUCCUCCAGUGAGGAACUUUCCGGCAGGCGUCUGAGGCUCAGGUGAUGCCAGCGGCAGAGUAUGCCCCUCUCUAAGGCACUCAUGAUACUACAGAAAGAUAAAUGUCAUGAAAGCUGGGCACAUGCACUGCCCACCCGCCAUGAAGCAGUGUUCUCAAGUCCGCAGGCUGGAACGCAGCAAGGACUUGGGUCACACAAGCUGAGCCUGUUCAGCUGGGGUCAGGGGAUCCCAGGGGCAUGGAUAAUCUGACUGCUUCUGUCCCUGCGAGGGUGUCUUACCAGUGGUUAGAAGCCUGUCCCUUCACCAAGCUCUCGAAGGAGCCUAGAAUGCCUGAGGCUCAGCCCCCACCCUCAGCUCUGCGCACAGAGAUACAUUCUACGUACAGCUUUGUUUUGUUUUCUUCCCAGAAUGCGUGUGACUUUGCCUGAUUGUAAAGACAAAAAUCAAAGUGAGCCAUCACAAGUUGGGGACCAUCUGUACAUCCAGUGGUAAAGACGCACAUAGGGCACAAAGCUAAGAUUUCCUCCUUGGCCCCUUGAGUGUUCCAGGAGCAGCCACCUCAGUUCCUUCUUCUUCACUGAGGCCUCUUCUGUGGGUUCACACGCAGCAUUAACGACCCCCUGACACUCCCAUCCACAGCUGUCCUGCUUCAUUUGCUGGUAGUCUCGGACAUACUGCCACUUCUGAUGUCACACUAGGCCUUCAUUUUGAGUUGUAUGGGCUCAGAGGUGUGGAUGAUGUAUUUAGCCCGCCUCCCCCAAUCUGUGGACACGUGGGGGUGGUUCCACAUUCUUGUAUGUGAGCUGCCGUGUGCUUCCAUGCAUGCGUGCAUCUCUAGGGUGGCGUGUUUGGAUGCUGAGCCCCUAACAGCAUGCAUUCACGUCAGCACACACCCUCACCUGGCUCUCAGCUGCUUUCAGACAGCACCCCACUGCACCCCCGCUCCCCUGUGGCUUCUCCCCAUAGACCAGGAGCUCCGGACACUCAUCAGAUGCUGCUGAACUGUGGGUGCUGACUGUCCUCCAGAGGCCCCAAUGUUCAUGGCUAGGUUCCCAGGGGACACCAUAGUGAGAUGUUUCCAGGUCCCUGGGCAUGUCCUUGAAGGGCAUGUGGCACCCCAGACCCUUCUUGCGGUUUUUUUUCUGCUCUCCACUGUGAGUAGAACAGCUAUGUUUUGACAUCUGUCACCACCAUGGUACAGUGCUCAACCAGAGGCCUAAAAGCAGUGGCCACCAGUCAUGGCCCCUGAUCUCUGAAAUGCUGACCCCAGAGAAAACAUUUCCCAUUUAUAAGCGGCUCCUCUCAGGUAUUUUGUUAUUUGAAAGCUCACAAAAAGAGG